CCAAGAACCACUUGCACUUCUGAGGCUGCAAGUGGUUACAGAGUCACCAAAGUUGGGCAGUGGAAAACUGCGCAUAUGUACAAACAACACAUAAUAUGAUGAAAACUUUAAAAGACACAAAACCAGGGGAAGACGACGAAGAGAAGUGCUUUAAAGAGAGAUUUAAAAGAGAUCAAUAAGUCAGCUCAUUCCACAGCUGUACACAGCAAAAAUUGGAGUGUUGAAAUUUCAGGGUUAAACAUGUUAGGGUUGAUUUUCACUCUCACAGUGUCAUUUUAACACAAUCUGAUUCAAAAAGUGUUCAGUGUUGGAGUUAUUUGACAGAGUUAGUCAAGUUAAUUUGCUUGGUAAGCCCCUGGGCUUCAGCCCGGUUAAACCCGUUGAUCAACUCAACUAAUAGUUUGCUUUGCUGCACCGUUCUUCCAUGUGCUUCUGCUGGUUUCACCACUGGUUGACCCUGUGUUGCAUGGAAAGUUUAACGCAGACGCCUUGGACCAAGAGAUGGCCUCCCUGUUGUUACUGUUCUACCUCCUUCCGCCACCACCUGGAGGACCGAAGCAUCCAAAACUCAGCGCCUCUGAUACAGUUGAGAGACUUGUAGUCUUUCAUAAGAUUGGACCCCCUAAUGGGCCGCUUUUGGCCCGCAGGCCAUAUGUUUGACACCUGUGUCCUAGACGUUGGGUGCCAGAAGAGGAAGAUCGACAGCUUCUGUAUAGCCAUGGACAAGCGUCUCAUCCCCUGCCAGGCCAACCGCUCUCUUGGGGCGUUUGAUGAGCUUUUUAAAGAUAAUUUUGUGUUCAAUGUGUCUUAUGAUGGUGUACUUGUGAAUUUAUUUUUUUAUAUCUUCAUUUAUUAUGUUGUAAUUGACUGCUUGUGAAAAAAGCCUAACAGUACAUUUUUUUGAAAAUGUAUUGUUUUUGGAAUUAAUUGUCUCAUAACUUUAAUUAUCAUAGUAUUAUAAAGUUGUAUUCAAUUCUUACAUAUUAAAUUUAGGGAAUAAAACUACCCAA